UUUUUUUUUUUUUUGUUUUUUUAAUAGCUGUGUUCUAAUUCUUCAGAGAACAGAAAGGGGAGCUUUGAAAAGGUGCUAAUAGACCAUGAAUUUGCAGCAGUGUAGUUCACAGCUAACUAAGCACACUCCCUUUUCUCCCUUUGGAGAAAAAAUGAGGGCAGCACAGAAGUGAAUUAAAAAUCAUGCUAACAGUCCCAGCAACAACCAGGGCAGUAGCAGCUUAUGAGAUCAGCCUCGUUUGGCAGCGUGCCCGCCACACAGACCUAAGAGCGCCAGGGCAGGAGGAUAUCUCAUGCCUUGUAAAAAGAGGAUGGCAUGGGGUGCCAGGGAGAGGGAUGGGAGCAUAACAAACAUCUUUUAGGCCUAUGUUGAAUUAACUUGUUUUAGAGAACACUGACAGCAAACUUCUAUGUCUUUUCACUUUUCUUGGAGAGUUCUUUAUUUUAUUCUGUAGACAAAUAUUCUCUCUGGAUCAGCUGUCCUACUAGGAGAGAUUACUAUCGCAAUGCCCCUCCUCCUGCCUGGGGGUAUUGUCCUCUCAAAUCACCCAGAGAUGCUCAUGUGCCUUCUCCAAACAUAGCCGUGGUUCCACGACAGUCUAAUCCGAUGUAAACUGCGGCUGCCACAGUCCCUCCUUCCCCAGCUGCUGCCCGUUCCUGUGCCAACAGGGAUGCUUGUCUGGUCUCACACUGAACUGGUUCAGAGAAGGCAGAACUAACUUCAAAAAAAUCUUAACACUGCUGUGUUAGUUCAGCUCCCCAUGGAGUCAGACAAGCACCAGCGCUGGUGCAAUCCAUGGGGUGGGGAUAUGGAUGAUUCAAAGCCAGGCAGCCGCUGCUCCGGUUUGGAUCAGUUUACACCAUCUUGGAACCGCACUCCGGGAGGAGCCACCCAAAGCCGGCUAUUUAAACUGCUUGUGAUGAUCCAGUUCCUUCCGCCGGGCCCAAGUGUGUGAGUGCUCCUAAAAAGAGCUUCCUCAUCAGAUGAGAAAGGGUGGGCAGCCUCCCCUUGCUAUCAGCAGCCCUUUCCUCACACACACCUGCACACUUGUGUGAUCCCUGAAGCCCACAGGGAGUUCCUGCAUUCCUGUGGCAGGACAGGCACUGAUGAGCAGUCCUCUGUGUUAAAAAUCAGGAGAAGCCCAGGUCAGGGUCAAAGCCAGCCCCCGAGGAGCCCUCCAGCUAGGGCAUUCUGGGCAGCUGCAAUGAACCACCAGGAUCCACGCCUAAUGUUACAGAUUACUUGAAUGUACAGAUGUAAAUGUACAAGGAAAGACGGUAGAGACACACCAAAGUCUCUCUGGAUUAUAAAUUGAUAUAAUGUCUUUUUUCUUUUUUUCUCCCUUUCUGAAGUUUACAAUUUUUAAAAUCAGAUCCUGAGUACUAAGGCAGUAAGGAAAGUGGUUUUAAAACUCCUGACUUUUUGCACACAUAAUUGCAUCUGAUGUGUGCAUACUGGUGAGGAACAUGCAAUAGCAAACAACAAAUACAUAAUUAAGACAGUUUUACUAUUUCCAAAGGUCACCUGCUUCUUUACAGGAGUAGCUGUAGAACAGUUUAGAGCCAAAACUCUGGAGGGCAAAAUCAAGGAUACAAAAAUUAGCCACUACAGAGGGAGAAUAUCCCACAAGAUACAUUGUGUCUUUACUUGAAAGGUGAGUUUAAUUGCCAACUCUUUCAUGGUCUUCCCCCACCACCUUAGUUUGAUGAAUAUUUAGUUCUGCUGUACCCACAUACAUCUAUGAAGAGAACAUUGUCUAAAGUAUCGUGGUGAUAGAUAAUAGGAAAUGAAGACGCUCAGACAGCAGAGCGAUGAGGACUAUACAAAGUCAUCAAGAGAGAAGAAGCCCUUAACUUCCAGAAAUGAGAGAGGAUGGACUGGCAAAAGACCAUCAGCUUCUGAAGAAACAAAGGGAAGAAUCAGUUAAGUUACAAGAAAACCCUGAAUCCACCUUUUAGAUACCAGACCUGGUACUGGGAAGCAUGUCUAUACCUGCAACUUCCCAGCCUGUGACAUUUUACUUACAGCAGGGCAUCUGAAUGGGUGAGUGAUGGAGCUUGGGAAAGGAGCAGGAGUAACAUUGCUCAGAUUUCAAAUUGCACGAUGCAGGAUAAUAUCUUAAUAGUCUGAAACUACUGCAACAUUUUCUGGGGGCGGGGGGAAUGGGGAGGGAAGUGAAUAGAAAACAUACAGGGAAGGGAAAGAAGGUAAUUUCAGUAAGGCAAAAAUUCUAACCUAUAUGGCUACAGAACGGUGUACUGGUCUGAAGACACUAGAACUCAAAUUUACUUACUUUUAAAGUACAUAAAACUGUUCAGCUUAUUGUCAAACACCCACCUGUUUAUUGGCAAUUGCUUGAUUGUCAGAUGUUAAUUUGCACCCUAAAUGUCUUUGGGUUGAGAUCACUGCUUAGUUCCGGAGGUAAUCCUGUGAACUAUCCCUUAGGUGCGGUUCAUUUGUAACACAAUGGAGAUUUGCAUGCUCUGUAUUGAGAGAAGGACUCCAAACUGUAGCAAUACUCAGUAAAGAAUGUUAUCUGUGCCCUCCCCCACACCCUUCCCUUCGAAAAAAACUCCAUGGAUCCAGUUCUGCUUUUUCACUGAUUCUCAGGAGAAAUAUAAAGAUCUUCUCUGCCAGUUGCAGAUGUGUUCUAUUUUUUUCCUACAUCAGAUUAUGAAUCACUCUAAACAAUAAGGAAAGGCUAUUCAUCCCAAAUGGGGAAGAUCUCACACACUAUGUGAUGAUAAAGCAUUUCACCCAUUUGCAAUUAAAAAAAAAAAAAAA
rnacentral:lncRNA from 1 species